GAGUUUGAACCUGGCUCAGAGCGAACGCUGGCGGCAGGCUUAACACAUGCAAGUCGAGCGGGCGUAGCAAUACGUCAGCGGCAGACGGGUGAGUAACGCGUGGGAACGUACCUUUUGGUUCGGAACAACACAGGGAAACUUGUGCUAAUACCGGAUAAGCCCUUACGGGGAAAGAUUUAUCGCCGAAAGAUCGGCCCGCGUCUGAUUAGCUAGUUGGUGAGGUAAUGGCUCACCAAGGCGACGAUCAGUAGCUGGUCUGAGAGGAUGAUCAGCCACAUUGGGACUGAGACACGGCCCAAACUCCUACGGGAGGCAGCAGUGGGGAAUAUUGGACAAUGGGGGCAACCCUGAUCCAGCCAUGCCGCGUGAGUGAUGAAGGCCCUAGGGUUGUAAAGCUCUUUUGUGCGGGAAGAUAAU
rnacentral:rRNA from 1 species